rnacentral:lncRNA from 1 species
AAUGUAAUGUUAAGGGUUGGCCAGUAGAUGGCAGCAAGUUUGAACUUGGCCUGGGAAAUUGAGUUUCCUGGAACAGAAUAUGAGCGUCUGCCAGAGCAGUGAAGGUUUAAAGGUAAACAGCUCUGGAUAAAAAUGUCCAGUCUCCAGUCCUCAUCUUGAUGAGCAUCUUUGUAAAGUUCAUUUACAUCUCUAUGCUUUUUGGCAUUAAUUAAGAAAUACACAUUGAAACUCCCUAUUGUGCCGGGUGGAGUCAUCAUGGCAGAUGGGGUCACCACCAUUCUGAAGUUAUGUUCUGGUACCAUCACUUGGGUUGUCAUCUCAACAGAGAUGGUCCCUCAACGAUGCUGAAAGCAGGUGUGCCAAGGUGCAAAGCCAGGACUUACAGGGUGGUGUGGAAAGCACCCUUAUUUCAGCUCCCCGAAAACGCAAAAUGAGUACAACCACUGAGACUGAGAAGCAAGUUCCACACCUCACUAAAGGGAGGUCUGCACCAGCUAAGAAGACAAUGCAGUUUCUGGAAGGUUUAAUCAUAUCUUAACAACGAAAAAAAAAACAACAAAACAGUUUUAUGACACCCAGGCCUCAAAGUUGAUUAAUGUGCAACAGGCAUAGACAAGCCUGGAAAAUGUUUGACAGGUAAGUACGAAGUGACCCUCUCUUUUACCUCUGUCUUCAGGGUGUGUUGACAUGGUUGAGAUUCAGACCUGAGGCUGCCUCGCACUGCCAGUCAGAAUGCUGUUCCGUGCUGUUUCCUCAGGUAUAGCAGAGUCUAACCGGCAGACGUGGGCACUGUGUGUAAUCCAUGUGCCUCCGCGUCCUGAACCCAGGCCCACCACCCAGAAGGUUCACCAUAGCUCUGAAUUAAAGGAGUGGGCAGGUGAGCAUGAGGUCUGAGUUCCAUGCAGAACAGAGCCGUGUGCUUAUCCCAGGCCCAGUAGCAGUCAGGAAUAGCUGCCUUCCAUGGAAAGUGACCCAGACCCAACUACAUACUGGACCCCACCAUGAAAGCCACCGCCUCUGCAAUUAGGAACAGACGAUGGACAGAAAUAGAUGGGCUCUGUCAACCUCUAUGACCUCUUUGUUGAGUAGUUUGAGGCUCCCUGGAAAAUCUUUAGAUGCUUUGAGCCUAGAAGCCAGAACUUGAAGAACAUCUAGUUGUUGAAGAUUGGAGGCAGUGGUCUGUCUUAGAUCAUGCUGGUCUGUGUCGUACCUUUGACAUUAUAUUUAAACAUAGAUUUUUAUAUUUAAUAAACAAAAGGUUCCUGAGAGAUUCUCCGGAGCCUUCUGCUAACAUUAAUCAUCUUCCCCAACACAUGCUGCCAUUUGGACUGCAGAGCUGGCCAAGCUUUAGGGAGGGGUUGGGUGGCUGGAAUCACCGAUCCAUGCCGCCACUUCAUUAGAGUAAACGAUGGAAUGAAGCAGAUAUGCACCUUUUGCUGAACCCUUCUUU